rnacentral:lncRNA from 1 species
AGGGUCUCCAAGACCACGCCCUGGGCUGCAAGGCGGCACUAAAUUGCUGUGCCACCAGGGCUGCCCUCUUCUCUAUUUUUAUUGUCUUAUCUCUGUUUGCUUGGGGUGGGUAAGAGCCUGACUAUCAUUUGGUGCACUUGGGAUUUAUGGGGCCCACAGAUUUAUGGAAGCCCAACUCUGGGCCUUUCCCUUAUCUUUCCCUGCCUAGCCCCACCCAUCCCUAACUCAUUACUACGUCAAUUUGUUGAACACACACAUUAAAACUGCUCAAUAUCACUGGCAUCAGGGAAAUACAAAUCAAAACCACAUUGAGAUACCACCUCACACCAGUCAGUGGCUAAAAUUAACAAGUCAGGAAACAAUAGAUGCUGGUGAGUUUGCAGAGAAAGAGGAACCCUCUUACAUGAUUGGUGGGAAUGCAAGCUGGUACAGCCACUCUGGAAAACAGUAUGGAGUUUCCUCAAAAAAAUAAAAAAUAGAGUUACCUUAUGACCCAGCAAUUGCCCUACUAGGUAUUACCUGAAGGAUACAAAUGUUGUGAUCUGAAGGGGAUACCUUCACUCCAAUGCUUAUGAGUUAGGGACAAAUGAGGCUAGACAGGGCUAGGUAAAGGCCCAUAGAAGAAGGCUCACAAAAUAAGUGCCAAAAUGCUGAGGUGUAAGGAAACCCAGAGAUAAGGGCACAAGUCAGACCACUCUGCUGCCCUAAGUGUGGGCGGGGAGGGUGUCUUUUUAUGAUAGUCACCUGUGACCAACAAAGGAUAAUCAGACUUCAAAGAAGAAGUAAACCAUUAAGGAUGUUAUCAAUAGUCCUUAUUCAAUGGUGAUAUCAGUAGAUAAUGCUAAAAAGAUUUAGGUUCCCUGAUUAGGCUUUCAAUAAAAGACCAACUCUACAAGCCCUCAGUGACAACCCAGUCGUGACUCCUCUCGUUUCUGAGAGAUUUCUUUUAUCUUUACUUAAUAAACUUCUAUUCCUAUAUAUAUACAUAAAUAUAUAUUAUGUAUAUAUAUAAAUAAACUUAUCUCUUUACACACUCUCCUUUGUCCAUAAGAUUCAUUCUUUGACUCUGUGAGACAAGAACCCAGCUCUCCCGUAUCAUUUAUAGCAGCAUUAUCUACCAUAGCCAAACUAUGGAGAGAGCUGAGAUAUCCACCAACAGAUGAAUGGAUAAAGAAGAUGUGGUGUAUAUACACAAUGGAAUAUAUAUACACAGUGUGGUAUGUAUACACUCAGCCACCAGAAAGGAUGAAAUCUUACCAUUUACAUCAACAUGGAUGAAGCAGGAGACUUAUGCUGAGCGAAAUACGUCAGUCAGAGAAAGACAAUUAUCAUAUGGUUUCACUCAUAUGUGGAAUUUAAGAAACAAAACAGGAUCAGAAGGAAGGGAGGGAAAAAGAAAGUAAGAUGAAAUUAGAGAGGGAGACAAACUCUAAGAGCUUCUUCACUAACUUGAGGGUUGCUGAAGGGCAGGUGGGGGAAAUGGGGUAACUGGGUGAUGGCCAUAAAGGAGGGCAUGUGAUGUGAUGAGCACUAGGUGUUAUAUGCAACUGAUGAAUUCCUGAAAUCUACAUCUGAAAUUAAUGACACAUUAUAUGUCAACUAAUUGAAUUUAAAUAAAAGUUAACAAUAAAAGGAGUUUGAAAGGUUAGAACAGAAAUGCAAAGGCCUUGUGGCAAAAGAAGCUGAACUGGCUUGAGAAACAGGAAGAAGUUGUGUGUGGUUGUCAGAGUGAAUGGCAGGGAAUUUGGGAAAGAAGAGAAUUAGAAUUACAGGCCAGGGCAUGUAAGGCAUUUAAGUUCAUGGUAACACAUUUGAUUUUCUUUUUCUAUGCGUGUUGGAAAUUCUUUAAGGUCUUCAAAAUAAAAUUUACUUUGUUUUUAAAAGAACACUUAGGACCCAGUGAGACAUUAUUGUGAGUGGUGGGAGGUGAGCCUGCAGUAAGCCAAUGCAAUGUUUUACUAAGUAGUGUAAGGCAUGUUAAGAAUUUUAGAACCAAUUCUUAGAGCACUGAGGAACCACAAAAGGUUUUGAAAGAGUGGAGUGGGCUUAUCAGAUUUGUCUCUCUAAAACAGAAAAUAAAAAUGCAUUUUGCAAUAUUUUAAAUAUGCCAACAACUGACAGUUCUUAUAAGUACCUGUUUAUGAUUAAGUAUAACUUCUAUUUAACAAAGCGUUAUAGCUAGGUAUAUGUGCUUCCUUUAAGAUGUGAUUAGUGGAAGGAAGUAAAAUAAUAAAUAUGAUGUAGAUGUCAUAGUUUCUUUAAUAGUAUAUUUAAAAAUCAACUUAAGUCCACUACUAUAUUAAAAUUACUUACAAAAUUGAAAAUGCAAAUUUUAAAUAAUCUACAUGAGUAAAGGAAACAAUAUUAUUUUAGGAAGGGAAGUAUAUUCUUUCUAAAAUACACACUAUAUUGUUUAUAUUUGUUAUAUUACAAAUGCACAUAAAUAAGUUUUUAGACUUUUGCUCUGGUCUAUAUGUUACUUUCUACAGCCAUAUUUUAUUCUGUAAUUAUUUUUUCUGGUAUGCAUGUGGGAAAACAAGUAAACUGAACUAGAGGAAGAGAGUGAAGAAGGGAGAGAGAGAGAGAGCAAAAGAAAAAGGAGAGAGAGAAAGCAGAGAACAGAAAGCCACAUAGAGAACAAGUAGGAAGUGAUUUCAAUACUUGAGAAAUUGGAACAUUUAUCAAAAUAUAACAAUUAUUCUGAAUAUACUGUCACAUAGUAUUCUUAACAAAUUAAGCAAGUAUUUACAAUAAAAUAAUGUUCAAAAUUAUUUCUACAUAUGCAGUAAUAAAUGCAAAUACACAGGGACUGAAUCAUCUUAAUGCUUCUGAAGCAAAGCAUCUGAAACAACAUCUGACUAAAGCAGCAGAUAUGAUUAUCUUCUACAUGCAAACUUCUUUCUACUAAAAGUCAAAGUUAAGUUUUUUCUUCUGGCUUAAAAAAGGGCCAGACCAGAGAGGAUAUUGAUACUCUUUAAUACAGGUUAUUAUAUUUCAGAUUCAUUAAGCCUUGAAAUGAAUUUCAUGUUCAGCUGACAGUCUUUAUUUUGUGAAGCAUAAUUAGGCAUAGGAACAGUUUUCAUGACACGGAAGACAGUAACAACUCAAUCAAUAUUAUUGGGGGUUUCAUUCAAUUCUAAAAAACUAAUAAAAAUGUUUUAAAAAAUUUAAGUGUCUUACUAGAUAUGCUGAUGAUUACUUCUAUGUUCAACUUAUUUGAUGAUAAUAAUAAUAAUAAUAAUAAUAAUAAUAAUAAUAAUAAAUUGUUGGGGUUUGCCCUCCUCCCAACUGUAGUAGCUGGUUUAAUAACUCGUCUAUUUUGGCUGCUUUUCCUUUUCUGUAUUACUUCUCUACUCUUCUGCUAUUUUUUUCUGUGCCGCUCAAAUGAAAAAAUCUGAUCCUGUAUACUUGUAUAGUUGCUUCUCGGGGUGCCUAUACUAAUUUGGUACCAGAAAUGACCCAAGGAAGCAGAUACCCAUGAGGAGAUAAUAGAAUUGAAUUACUUGUCAGUGAGAUGACUAUAAAACCACAUUCUGGUGGUAAGUGGUGUGUUUAGAAGUGCUGGCAUGCUGCAACAUUGCAAUCAUUAAGGCUCUUACAUGUGUGAAAUUAGGACAGGAUACAGGUGAAAGGAGUUGUGCUGACUUAUGCAACAUUCCUUGCAUUUGAGAAAAUGAUGGACAUGGGUGUUGUGAGGAUGCUUGUGCUGGUGGGCAGAGUCUUAUUAAGUGCUAUCGAUGUACUCAAGGGAGAAAAUAAUAGGUACAAGCCAGCCAACCAUUAAAUCAGUAAACUGAAAAUCAGAAUUCUAUGAAAGCCACAAGUACCCUAAGAAAGGAUUUAAAUAUACCCCAUACUCUAUUGACUGAAACAGAGCACAGGACCUGAUUUCAGAGAGCAAAAUCACAAAGGAAGUUUAUUCAAACCUCUAAAAAUUCACCUUCACUAAAGCCUUGGCUCUGAUAGACCCUACUUGACCCUGACAUCUGGGAUGGGAACAUCUUGUUAGGUGUGCUUGAGAACCUUUACCUCUAAACCCCAAGCCCUCCUUAUGAUUUGACAAUAUGUAGAAGCCUCUACUAGAUAUAUGCCUCAAGUAAUAAUACUUUCCUUCUUCAAAAGUUGUCCUCAUAUUUAGUAAGGUAUUCUAGGUCAGUAGCUAGUGUCAAAUCUCAGCAUGGCCUUCCUUAGCAAUCAUUGCAUGUUUCAGGAGGAAGGAUAUUAGCUACAAAACAGCUGCAAGUGCAGGCUAAUAUAUUUACAUAGGACAAGGAAAGUACAACUGGAGAUGGAUCUUGGGUUACUAGAAUGAAGAGGAGAGGCAAAUAUGUCUAAUAUAAGAUAUUUGCUAACAGGGAUCCCUGGGUGGCACAGCGGUUUGGCGCCUGCCUUUGGCCCAGGGCACAAUCCUGGAGACCCGGGAUCGAAUCCCACGUUGGGCUCCCGGUGCAUGGAGCCUGCUUCUCCCUCUGCCUAUGUCUCUGCACCUCUCUCUCUCUCUCUGUGACUAUCAUAAAAAAUAAAAAUAAAAUAAAAA